rnacentral:rRNA from 1 species
UGUCGGAUUAGCUAGUUGGCGGGGUAAAGGCCCACCAAGGCGACGAUCCGUAGCUGGUCUGAGAGGAUGAUCAGCCACACUGGAACUGAGACACGGUCCAGACUCCUACGGGAGGCAGCAGUGGGGAAUAUUGGACAAUGGGCGCAAGCCUGAUCCAGCCAUACCGCGUGGGUGAAGAAGGCCUUCGGGUUGUAAAGCCCUUUUGUUGGGAAAGAAAAGCAGUCGAUUAAUACUCGGUUGUUCUGACGGUACCCAAAGAAUAAGCACCGGCUAACUUCGUGCCAGCAGCCGCGGUAAUACGAAGGGUGCAAGCGUUACUCGGAAUUACUGGGCGUAAAGCGUGCGUAGGUGGUUGUUUAAGUCUGUUGUGAAAGCCCUGGGCUCAACCUGGGAAUUGCAGUGGAUACUGGGCGACUAGAGUGUGGUAGAGGGUAGUGGAA